UCUCGCUGUAUACAGAUCUAAAUAUUGUUAGCCAAUCACAGACUGUGUUGUUACCAGUUCCCAGUAGCCUACAUCAGACAACCAAUAAGAGUUGGGUCUGUGGCUUUCAGUCGAAUAGAGUUCAUAGGCUUUCAUAGGCUUUCCCAGGGGCACUCGAUUUUCGAGAGUGUCUGGCCAAGAUAGUUUCCUUAGAGACGAUGAAAAGAAUUACCAAGAUGUCCUUGAUCCGACUGAGGAUCAAGAAGUGAUGAGCCAGAGCAACCAAUCAGCGUCCCUGCAGCUGUUCUACCCACCACCCCCACUGCUCUCCCUCCACAAGCAACCUCAUCCUCUUCUCCACAAGCAACCUCAUCCUCUUCUCCACAAGCAACCUCAUCCUCUUCUCCACAAGGAACCUCAUCCUCUUCUCCACAAGCAACCUCAUCCUCUUCUCCACAAGCAACCUCAUCCUCUUCUCCACAAGCAACCUCAUCCUCUUCUCCACAAGCAACCUCAUCCUCUUCUCCACAAGCAACCUCAUCCUCUUCUCCACAAGCAACCUCAUCCUCUUCUCCACAAGCAACCUCAUCCUCUUCUCCACAAGCAACCUCAUCCUCUUCUCCACAAGCAACCUCAUCCUCUUCUCCACAAGCAACCUCAUCCUCUUCUCCACAAGCAACCUCAUCCUCUUCUCCACAAGCAACCUCAUCCUCUUCUCCUGUUCAACUCAUUUGACACCAGACUGAAAAGGACUGUACAUACAUACCUCUGUGCCCAUCUCAUUGCAACAUGAUCCAUCCAAGGCCAAAGAUGGACGCCUAAAAUGUUAGAAAUGUAAACAAGAUGCUACAAGAGGCUGUUUCUGUGUCCCAAAUGGCAACCCCUAUUACAUCUUUGGGGCCCUGGUUAAACAUAGUGUACUAUAUAGGGAACAGUGUGCAAAUUGGGUUGUAGACGCUGUAUCUAUAUCAGCGAGGGGCUGAUCCUAUAACCUGCAUACCUAUUCCUUCAUCAAGCACGAACACGGCUCUGUUGUCGCCCACGCAUGAUACCUAUGCCAAGUACAAUACACUGUGUGUGUGUGUGUGUGUGUGUGUGUGUGUGUGUGUGUGUGUGUGUGUGUGUGUGUGUGUGUGUGUGUGUGUACGGAGUUCCAAGAAAAGACAUAGGGAGGAUGGCAAAGGAGAUAGCGAUGAGAGUGAGAGCAUACAGUAUGAAAAUACAGACCCCUUGGGAUCUAAAAUGAAUAUGGGGUGCCCUCUUGUGUCUCCUUUUUGUCCAUUUGAGGAUACUACAGCACCCCUGGUGGAGGUUCUUGGAACACUGCUAUUUAAGUCUGAACAGAGGUUGACGAAAACCUUCAAAGUUGGUGGUGCUACCAGGCAGAUGUUUGAGAAAGGGGUUCCAAAAGGGUUCUUUGCCUGUCACAAAAGGACAACCCUUUUUGGUUACAGGUAGAAUUCUUUUUGGUUCCAUGUGGAACCCUCUGUAGAAAGAGUUCUACCUGGAACCAAAAAGGAUUCUCCUAUGGGGACAGUGGAAUAAUCCUUUUAGGUUAUAGAUAGCGCCUUUUUAUCUGAGUGUAGGCCUAUAUUGCAGUGGUGGUUCCGUGGUUUUCUGUAAUAAAAUAAAUAACAAAUACUAUAAAUAUCAGAAAUACUAUGAAACAGACCCACUUUUAGCACACAUUUUCAAGCAGGCAAAGUAACCUUCUAUGUGUGCUGAGGCAUGUGUGAUCCCUCAACAUUGGCAAGGUUGACAAAAAAAGACAUGCUCACAUGCAAACAAAAGUUAACAUGUCUAACUUGCACCGUUAUGCAAUUAUUAGGAGACUAGAUACAAAUAGCUAAUACUGGCUACCAAUGUUCAAGUAUGAAUUUAUUGAGGCAAGCAGAUCAGAUAUGUCAAGGUGGUACCCAAGUAUAUGCCAUGUGUAUAUGUGACACAUACAUAUGUAUGGUCAUAUUUUUGAUGUUUUAUUUCAUUUGUUAUUUUAUGAACCCAUUUAUUGUAUCAUAAUGGAGGUUGGCUAGGUUGCUAAUGGUUUACAUGUAAGAGAAGGGAUUAAGAUGGCGUCUGAACAUUCUGUACUUUUUUCCAACAAUGUUUUAGAUCCAAUUUGUUUUAUUCUCUAUGAACAAAAGCUCAGUUUACUUUAUGUAAUAUAUGUAAAUAUGUGAUGUCAAGAGAAAAUGUGUUAGUGUUAAUAUUUGUACGAAAAUAGCGUUUAACAGUUCGCUAGCUUGAUGCUAACCAAAUUUAGCUUGGCUAAGCGCUUGUUAGCUCUAGGCUAGUUGGUUUCAGUCAAUGUUAGCUUACAUGUUAGUGGUUAAUAAUGUAAUGGUUGUAGCAUUGUUUUGCAUAGGCCUCCAGUAAUUUGCAGUGUUUUCGAAAUUGACACUAAUAGUACAGUGAGUUAUAUAUAUAAUGUGAAUGUGUAGAUGUAUGGUGACUCCGAGUUUGUAUGAACGGACCAACGGGACUGCCAUGUGCAAGUCCUUGAUGGGUACCAGGAAUGGUGGGAGGACAACCUGAAGGUAAUUAUAUUUGCACACAACAGCAGCGUCCAGACGUCCCGAGUACUCACCCUAUCGCCUGCUGUACGGACGGGAUCAGCAGCUGUUUACUGAGGUAAACAAUACAAUUGUAUAUACAAUUAUUGCAUAUACUCUAGUAUAAAAAAUGACCUAGUGUUUGUCUAUUGCUAUUUUUGUUUAACGUACUUUGAGAUCACUUCAAUUUUGAUCAAAUUUCGACCUGAUGUGGUGGAAGUUGUCGGACCUAAUCAGAAGGCCUUCGUGGACCACCUUCAGGCAUGGGCUGAGAACGAUGAAGAGGUUUUUGACCAGUGAGACUGAACAUGGACAAGGUGUACGAGAAACAGAAGGAGAGCCACCGGAGGAGAAUCAAGCAGACCAAGUGCUUCGACAUCCGGGCAAAUGACUUCGCUUGGAAGAAGGAUUAAAGGAAGGCGAGGAAUCUCAGUUCCACAAUAAAUGUUUGUUUUGUUCAAUAAAGUCCAUAAUUUAUGUCCAAAUA